rnacentral:lncRNA from 1 species
UGGUAGACCACGCUGUAUGGUGCAUGAUAUUGGACCUCCAAUAAGAUUAGUCGCAAGUCGUCACUCCAGGCACAGCAGCUCUCCAGUGUGGACUUUUACUAAUACAUUAGACAGACCAUAGAACAUCAAAAAUUAUGCUAAAAGGCAAGAUUAUUGUAAAGAAAAGCAAUGAUGAUGAUGAUGAUGAUGAUGGUGAUGAUGAUGUCGACGACGAACUCUGACGUGUCUUGGCAAUGUUCAAUCAGUGUAUACAGAUCUACGAUGUUUGCCUUUGUUUCAGUCAUAGAAAAGAAAACAAGAAUGCUUGUCUUAAAGUCAUGCUAGAAUACACGCUUAUUGUGAAGAAUAAAGAUGAUGAUGAUGAUGAUGAUGAUAAUGAUGAUGGUUACGCUUGUAAUGAUGAUGGUGACAACGACAAAUUACUUGUCUUAGCUCACGUUUGGCCAGUGAACACUGAUCUACGAUGAGUACCUUUGUUUCGAGCGAAAACAGGAUCAAGAAAC